CCUGGACACAUGCUGAUCCCAGAGCCAAAGGGCAUUAGGAAAUACUUCAGUUUUCUUCCUGCCUUGUAGAAUGUAGUUUUCUUCUUGCCAUUCUCUAUGUAACGAUCAAACUUGUACUUCUUAGGAUCUUCAUAGACCUCGGGGUCCAUGUGCAAAAUCUGAGGGUAAAGGGCUAUCCAGUCUCCUUUCCUCAAACUGACU
rnacentral:lncRNA from 1 species